rnacentral:snRNA from 1 species
AUACCUUUCUCGGCCUUUUGGCUAAGAUCAAGUGUAGUAUCUGUUCUUAUCAUUUUAAUAUCUGAUACGUGGUUCAUAAAACCACAUGAUAUUAAAUGUAUUUUUCUAGGGGGAGGGCCCACUCACAAUAGCUUGCUAUUGGGGCUCUCGGACGUCGCUUGUGCAUUGCACUAUAGCACCAUCCUGGCGCACCCCAA